UACGUAGGGUGCGAGCGUUAAUCGGAAUUACUGGGCGUAAAGCGUGCGCAGGCGGUUUUGUAAGCCAGAUGUGAAAUCCCCGGGCUCAACCUGGGAAUGGCAUUUGGGACUGCAAGGCUGGAGUGCGGCAGAGGAGACUGGAAUUCCUGGUGUAGCAGUGAAAUGCGUAGAUAUCAGGAGGAACACCGGUGGCGAAGGCGGCUCUCUGGACGGUGACUGACGCUGAGACGCGAAAGCGUGGGGAGCAAACAGG
rnacentral:rRNA from 1 species